GCAGCUUUCUGUACACCUGUUCUGAAACAGAGAUCUGGUCUAGUCAUCGAGUGAAGACCACGCCUUUGUCAUUGUCUAUGGCUAAACUUCGGCUUCCAGACGAGACCAAGCCAGUCUACGAUCUAUGUCCGGCAAUUCAACAGGUAUACAGAAAACCGCUCUGAAAAACAGAGGCUGUGAACAAUCAUUUUGUCAUGGGGAUAUCCAGUAAACAGAAGUACAUUUCAGUUUUCUAUGAAUCUCUGCUUCCUUCAAAGUGGACAUGCCCAGUCCUCAAUGGUGAGUAGCACAAUAAUGUUUGACAACUUUUAGAGAAAUAGAAGUUACAGAAGUAGGAAAGGGAAAGUAAUAGAAGGAGCAGAGUAGUAUGAGAAGUCAUUUGCUUGUAAAAAUGCAACUUUGCAGUCCAGCCAAUGAAUAUCUUGUUAGUAAGUUUGAACAUCUGAGGUCUAGGCGAUUCUCAUAAAACGCAUUCAAAAUAUCGGAAUUUUCCGCACAUUGAUCAUGUACCUGCAAGUUUUGCGUGAAGCCAGAGUCUAGUCAUAGACUAGCACCACCCCGUGUUUGCAACACUCGAUGACUAGAUUGUGUCCGUUAGGGGACACGUAUACAGAAAGCUACAUUGAGUGACUUCGAGCAGCCAAUCCAGAUUAGCAGCUUCAGGCUGGAGCUUGAACAGGACAUUUUCCGUGCGAUGAGAUUUACCCAGAAACAAGAACACCCGAUCUGCCCUCACGUAGACAAGUCUACAACAACAACAACUGUCUUUGAUGUGUUUUUAAGCAAGACAACCUGUUUUUCUAGACGCUGUAAGAAAUAAGGUGGAAAUGCCAUUGAACAAAACUCGCAAUGCUGCUUCUGCUGCUGAUGAUGAUGAUGAUGACGACGACGACAACAACAAGACGACAUAUAUUUCUGUCCUCUGUGUGAGGCUGUCGCUACUAUGUCCUGCGAUAUGGUGUGUGAUGAGGUUUGGAUGGAAACGAUAGCAUUGACUUCCCUUUUCUUUAUUAUCAGCAGAUUCUGAUGUGUCUCAACAGUCACGAAUGCGACACGCUGGGUGUAAGUGUGACUUAGAAUUGCCUUGUAUGUUUGGAUAUUGUAAGACUAACAUGUUGUUUCUGGGAAGUGUAAGUAGUGGAAGUCAUUAGGUCAAAGAGGAUCAACCUCAAUGAUAAAAUGGUGAAAGCUUUAGCUUAGUUGGUUCUUUCUCUCACUCCUGACCAGAAACUGGGUGUGUCACUUAUUUUGUUAGAGAAAGGAAGGAUCUUUGUUACUGGAAUCGCAAGUAGUCUGAUAGCAAAAGAUCACGGUGAUCCUCCGCUAGCAGGUCUUAUGUAAUCGGGAUUAGUGUUAUAUUACACCGGUAGUUACGGUAGAACUGCUUCCGAGAUGUGGAUGUCACCUGAUGGGAAGUAGAUGGGAUUAUAGAAUUUAUUUUCAUUCUGUCCCUUUGAGUUCGGAACUAGGUAGAAAAGACAAAGGACUGCCAGGAUUAUGUUAAGGUCUUGAGAAAACAAAUAAUGCAAGUGUGUUGACUAUGAUUUUUCUGUGUAGAUGAGGAUGAUGUGCAUGUGGAAAGCAUGUUUUUUUCCGUGUAGUCACAUCACGUUAAUAUGUAAAAUAAAACCGAUACCACUAAAUAUAUAUAUAUGUGUGGGGAUAAGAUUGCGCGUUCAGUGAUUGGUCACAACAUGUAACCAAGCCGCCCUGUUCGGAUUUACCGAGGACUAAACCGCAAUCACCUGAGAAAGAGUGGAUGAAUAGACGAGCAAAACAGAAGAAGUAAGGGAUGGAAGAAAGGGAGCGACAGAAAGAAAACGAAGACAGUGGUCCUACAAAUAAAGGUAACACAGCUAAUCAUACAUUCUUCUACCCGGUGAUACCAAUAAGAGUCUCAGCUUCUAUGAUGGUUAAUUCAUCCAUUGAAAGACGGCAACUGUUAUCUGGAAAGUUCUAGGAAGACAUUCCGUUUGUGAACAGACAAAUGUCAAAUAACUUCUCAUACUGGAGUCAAGGCUUGUCAGUGGUUGUGUCUCAGCUAGGGAAAUGUAAAGACAUUUUUAUUGUAUGUACUUAUUUUCGUGUAGCGAUUCUUGUGGUCAGACUGUCUGCGAUAAGGUGUGCGAUGAGGCAUGGUACAGACGCAGACUCUGCUUCACUAUGCUUCGCUUGGAGCAGACCAUGCCAGGAUACAAAAUGAAGUUGUGAUGUCCAAUCCCUAGGCUGACAUGGCUAGUUAUUGGAAAAAUGUCCAAGCAUUGUGAAAGGAGAAAUUUGAUAUGAGAAACAACAAAUUUUCGGGGUCAGAGACGACCACCAAGAGAUUUCACUUCCUGGACCAACUUGAUUACCCUGCCGUUUACAGACAUAGACGGGUCUGGAAAAGUGUCUCAUAAAGUAGAUGCAUACUGACUACUCGGAAAACACUUUGUCAACGACUUCUAUACAGCGUUGAUGUACAUUUAAAGAUGGUGUUCGAGACGUAAAGUGGAUAUCUUCUGGAUGCAGAAGAUGUUUAAAUACUGUAUGUUUGAGUCAUGUAGUCAAAUUUAGACUUUCAUUCUGCGGUAUGGUGUGCGACUAGGCAUGGUACAUACGCAGAAGUAGCUUGUAGCCGCUUGUAAACUGUUUUCUGUGUUUGGAGGAAUGAUUUUAAAGAAAAGUAUUCAAGCAGUUGAAGCAAUACAGUAACAAAGCUACUCCAGUAAGUAAUGAGAUUUGUGAUAGGCAGCCAGUGAAAUAAGCUUAUGACAGUCCUGGUGGUGAACUUUGUCAACUUCUUCAUAUCACUAUAAAAACCACUAUAUUCACAUUACACUACGCAAUAUAUUAUAAGCACAUGACACAACAGAAUACACUAUAACAAUUUAAACACUAGACAAUACAUGACAUACACAAGGCAAUACAGAAGACAUUAUAUAUAUAUUACACUACAAAUAACAAAACAUCCAUAUGGCACUACAACAUUCACUAUAGCACUACAGAACGGACUACAGAUGUAUGGCACAGCAAAAUACACUAUAUGAAUAUGACAUUAAGAAUGUAUUCAUGACACUGCAUAAUAUACUAUAUGCACCUUUCAUUACGGAAUACCCUCAAUACACAGAACACUACGGAAUACAUUAUAUACACAUGAAAUUAUACGAAGAAAUACACGAUGUACACAUGGACUUUCAGAAUGUGUUCUGUAUACAGAGCUAUAGAAAGCGGACGACGCUUUAGCCAACAUGAACUAUAAUCUCUACAAUAGAUAGCUGUUUAGAUCGAUUUUUUUUUCAUGCUAAAGCUUCUAAGGUCUGAUGAAGAUAUUUCUUUGUAGAAAGUCUGCAGUUGAUGCAAGAAAUGGAGCAAGGGAAGCAACUGUUGCAACACAUAUGUCUCAUGGUAGUCUCCCCUAUAUUACCGCAAUACAUUUUAGCAUGAUGGAUUUUCCAUUUGGGAAAUGACUAAUAGAUUAAUGUAGUCCUGAGCUGAUUGCUAGACUGUGCUAUGAAUUGGAGUUAUCACCCUUAUCUGUCUCGAGACACAAGGAUUGUCACUUUUACUUUAGUAGGAAAGCAUGGGGAUGUGAGUACGAUUUAUGAAAGAGUGAAUCAGAGAGCGAAAAAUUCACGUGAACCCCUGUAGUUGGAGGGAAAACUCAGUUUGAUCAUUUCCUAUAUGCCGAUUGUUGAAGAAAGAGACACUGUAGCCAAUUUUUGUGGGAAAGAGACCGGGAAAUCAGAAUAAUUCCUUGUCUAGUCAAAGUAUAGGACAAGUUGUGUUUA